rnacentral:rRNA from 1 species
CUUGACGACCAUAGAGCAUUGGAACCACCUGAUCCCAUCCCGAACUCAGUAGUGAAACGAUGCAUCGCCGAUGGUAGUGUGGGGUUUCCCUAUGUGAGAGUAGGUCAUCGUCAAGA